AGGAAACAAAAUGAUAUAAGGAAUGUCACAGUUAAGCAUAGAUGAUGGCAUACAAUUAAUCACGAAACAAGCUAUAAAAACUGCAUCAGCCCAAAAUUGUUUAAGGACCUUCAUUUGAAAAAGGAGUACCCGUGCUACCUCAAGAAGAUGUCUAUUUUUUCUUUCAGCAACCCCAUUCUGGGAUGGAGUAUCAACACAAGAUGUCUGAUGAAGAAUGCCUUUUUGUGACAUAUAGGUUUGAAAAUUGCCAGAAAGAUAUUCCGUAGCAUUAUCGUUUCUCAAUAUAUGCACAAACGUAUUAAAUUGAUUUUGAAUCUCAGCACAAAAGGCAUAAAAAAUAGAAAAUAAUUCUAAACGAUUCUUCAUUAAAAAUAACCAAGUAACACGAGAAUAAUUAUUAACAAAUGUAAUAAACUACUUGAAUCCAGAGUUUGAAAUAACAGGACAUGGAUCCCAUACAUCAGAAUGAACUAAAUAAGCCCGUUUAUUAACUCGAGACACUGUAGGUAAACGAUGGUGUUUGGCAAACUAACAUGACUCACAAUUUAAAACUGA
rnacentral:misc_RNA from 1 species